rnacentral:rRNA from 1 species
GGAUGAACGCUAGCGGCAGGCUUAACACAUGCAAGUCGAGGGGUAACAGGGAAGCUUGCUUCCGCUGACGACCGGCGCACGGGUGCGUAACGCGUAUAGAACCUACCUUUUACAGAGGAAUAGCCUUUAGAAAUGAAGAUUAAUGCCUCAUGGUAUUAAGACUUGGCAUCAAGACUUAAUUAAAGAUUUAUCGGUAAAAGAUGGCUAUGCGUCCUAUUAGCUAGAUGGUAAGGUAACGGCUUACCAUGGCAACGAUAGGUAGGGGUCCUGAGAGGGAGAUCCCCCACACUGGUACUGAGACACGGACCAGACUCCUACGGGAGGCAGCAGUGAGGAAUAUUGGGCAAUGGAGGCAACUCUGACCCAGCCAUGCCGCGUGAAGGAAGACGGCCCUAUGGGUUGUAAACUUCUUUUAUACAGUAAGAAACCACUCUACGUGUAGAGUGCUGACGGUACCAUACGAAUAAGGACCGGCUAACUCCGUGCCAGCAGCCGCGGUAAUACGGAGGGUCCAAGCGUUAUCCGGAUUCAUUGGGUUUAAAGGGUUCGUAGGCGGAUAAAUAAGUCAGUGGUGAAAUCCCGAAGCUCAACUUCGGAACUGCCAUUGAAACUGUUUAUCUUGAAUUUAGUUGAAGUGGGCGGAAUAUGACAUGUAGCGGUGAAAUGCAUAGAUAUGUCAUGGAACACCAAUUGCGAAGGCAGCUCACUAAGCUAAUAUUGACGCUGAUGAACGAAAGCAUGGGUAGCGAACAGGAUUAGAUACCCUGGUAGUCCAUGCCGUAAACGAUGAUAACUAGCUAUUGGCGAUACACAGUCAGUGGCAAAGCGAAAGCAUUAAGUUAUCCACCUGGGAAGUACGGUCGCAAGAUUGAAACUCAAAGGAAUUGACGGGGGCCCGCACAAGCGGUGGAGCAUGUGGUUUAAUUCGAUGAUACGCGAGGAACCUUACCAGGGCUUAAAUGGGGAACGACAGGCUGGGAAACCAGCUCUUCUUCGGACGGACUGCAAGGUGCUGCAUGGUUGUCGUCAGCUCGUGCCGUGAGGUGUCGGGUUAAGUCCCAUAACGAGCGCAACCCCUAUUCUUAGUUGCCAGCGAGUAAUGUCGGGGACUCUAAGAAAACUGCCUGCGUAAGCAGUGAGGAAGGUGGGGAUGACGUCAAAUCAUCACGGCCCUUACGUCCUGGGCCACACACGUGCUACAAUGGUAUAGACAAAGGGCAGCUACCUGGUGACAGGAUGCUAAUCUCUAAACUAUAUCUCAGUUCGGAUUGAAGUCUGCAACUCGACUUCAUGAAGCUGGAAUCGCUAGUAAUCGCGCAUCAGCCAUGGCGCGGUGAAUACGUUCCCGGGCCUUGUACACACCGC